UCGCCAGUGAUCAUUAUCAUCAAAAUUCAAAUCUUGUUAAUUAGUAGUUCUUAUGUAGUAGUUCAAUUUUCCAAAUACUUUUUUUGCUUUGAAACUUCUUAAUUUAUAUUUUGUAUUCGCGAUUAUUUCCAGAGUCUAAAUUAUUCAUGGCAGUCAACAAUUUCUACGAUUCAUUAAAUCUGCAAACUGUGGAAGGCACUGAAACUUUUAUAAAAUUGGAAAAAAAGUUGCGUGAUAAUCAUUGGUAUAAGCCUAUGUUGGACCAAGCAGAAGUCUCUCUAAAUGUGAACCGAGUCUAUCUUGUUUUGGGAGCAUCAUCAGUGUUCUUGGUUGGAUUAUUGCUUCAACACGGUGUUUCAUUAAUCAUGAGUGGAUUUGGCUUCAUCUAUCCUCUUUAUCAAACAUUUCAUUGCUUAGAACUGAAUAUCUCAUUGUUUGAGGGACUGUUAAAUUUGUAGCCUUAGAAAAACCAAAUCCUUUAGUUGAGAAGAAGUGGUUGAUAUACUGGCUCAUUCAUGCUGCUUUGAAUUUUGCUGAAACAUUCAUUUUCUUCCUUCACUGGCUUCCAGGAUAUUGGAUAUUCAAGUGUGGCUUCUUGUAUUGGUGUUAUGCACCUCAGGAGAGAAAUGGCUCUGACAUUGUCUACGACUAUGCAAUUCGACCCUUCUUCCGUACAACAAACGAGGAACACCAGAAGACUGCGCCACAUUCCAUUUACACAGACAGCCUGGAAGCACUGUCCAGUUCUUGAGUAUCCUCAUCAUAUCAUUGCCAAAGAAUGUUCAUCUAAAGAAGGCUUCAGAAUUGUAUUUUACACUUGAAUUGUGUGUCGUUUUCUCAAAAUGUGUUCGUGAAUUGAAAUAAAAUAAUGAUUUUGUGAAGAA
rnacentral:misc_RNA from 1 species